rnacentral:rRNA from 1 species
UAGGGAAUCUUCGGCAAUGGACGAAAGUCUGACCGAGCAACGCCGCGUGAGGGAAGAAGGUUUUCGGAUCGUAAAACUCUGUUGUUAGAGAAGAACAAGGACGUUAGUAACUGAACGUCCCCUGACGGUAUCUAACCAGAAAGCCACGGCUAACUACGUGCCAGCAGCCGCGGUAAUACGUAGGUGGCAAGCGUUGUCCGGAUUUAUUGGGCGUAAAGCGAGCGCAGGCGGUUUCUUAAGUCUGAUGUGAAAGCCCCCGGCUCAACCGGGGAGGGUCAUUGGAAACUGGGAGACUUGAGUGCAGAAGAGGAGAGUGGAAUUCCAUGUGUAGCGGUGAAAUGCGUAGAUAUAUGGAGGAACACCAGUGGCGAAUGCGGCUCUCUGGUCUGUAACUGACGCUGAGGCUCGAAAGCGUGGGUCGCACACAGG